rnacentral:rRNA from 1 species
AUGGAAUCAUAUUUGCCAAACUGUAUUCCUGUGAUCCUUGAUCCACGAUUUAAACUUUGCUUCAUCGAGUUUCGACUAAAACAAGCUUUUGGUCCAGAUGUAGAAAGACACUUGCUUGCAGUGAAAGAAGUUCUUGACAACCUUUUCGAAGAAUAUUCUUCACAAAUGACGGAUGCAUUGGAUGAGUCAGCACCGCGACAAAAUUUUGAUGAGGUUGUGAAUGAAGAGAAUGAUCCGUUGGCGGAUUGGGACCAACACUCGAAUAAGAAGCAACGCCAAACUGCUAGUGAGCUUGCCAGAUACUUAGAAGAAGACACAUUCACUCGCACGGAGGAUUUCAACAUUCUUCAAUGGUGGCAUCUUCACUCGUCUAAGUAUCCCGUCCUUUCUUGUAUAGCUCGUGAUGUUCUUGCUGUACAAGCUUCCGUCGUAUCGUCAGAGUCGGCUUUCAGUACCGGAAAGCGUUUGAUCAGCGAUUACAGAAGUAGAUUGUGCAGCGAGACAGUGGAAGCCUUAAUCUACCUUCAAGAUUGGUUUAGAUGUAAUGAUAAGCAUGCCAAUGCUCCUGAUCAAGGUCACUACUAUUAA